AUUGAACGCUGGCGGCAUGCCUUACACAUGCAAGUCGAACGGCAGCGGGGACUUCGGUCCGCCGGCGAGUGGCGAACGGGUGAGUAAUGUAUCGGAACGUACCAUUCAGUGGGGGAUAACUAUCCGAAAGGAUAGCUAAUACCGCAUAUUCUGUGAGCAGGAAAGCAGGGGAUCGCAAGACCUUGCGCUGAUUGAGCGGCCGAUAUCAGAUUAGCUAGUUGGUGAGGUAAAGGCUCACCAAGGCGACGAUCUGUAGCGGGUCUGAGAGGAUGAUCCGCCACACUGGAACUGAGACACGGUCCAGACUCCUACGGGAGGCAGCAGUGGGGAAUUUUGGACAAUGGGGGCAACCCUGAUCCAGCCAUGCCGCGUGAGUGAAGAAGGCCUUCGGGUUGUAAAGCUCUUUCGGCCGGGAAAAAAUCGCAUGGGUUAAUACCCUGUGUGGAUGAUGGUACCGGAAUAAGAAGCACCGGCUAACUACGUGCCAGCCGCCGCGGUAAUAC
rnacentral:rRNA from 1 species